CGUUGCAAGUCUGUGCAGGGGUGAAAGACUUAUCGAAGCCUCUAGCUGCUGGUGCCCUCCGAAGUUUCCUC
rnacentral:rRNA from 14 species